rnacentral:rRNA from 1 species
CAGCAGCCGCCGCGGGAAUACAGAGGGUGCGAGCGUUAAUCGGAUUUACUGGGCGUAAAGCGUGCGCAGGCGGUUAUAUAAGACAGAUGUGAAAUCCCCGGGCUCAACCUGGGAACUGCAUUUGUGACUGUAUAGCUAGAGUACGGCAGAGGGGGAUGGAAUUCCGCGUGUAGCAGUGAAAUGCGUAGAUAUGCGGAGGAACACCGAUGGCGAAGGCAAUCCCCUGGGCCUGUACUGACGCUCAUGCACGAAAGCGUGGGGAGCAAACAGGAUUAGAUACCCGCGUAGUCCCUGUCUCUUAUAC